rnacentral:tRNA from 1 species
GGCCAAGCUAGGGAGCAUACUUGUUUUGAAAACUGGUUAAAGAGGUUCGAAUCCUCUCUUGGUCU